AUACGGAGGAUGCGAGCGUUAUCCGGAUUUAUUGGGUUUAAAGGGAGCGUAGGUGGGAUAUUAAGUCAGCUGUGAAAGUUUGGGGCUCAACCUUAAAAUUGCAGUUGAUACUGGUUUCCUUGAGUACGGUACAGGUGGGCGGAAUUCGUGGUGUAGCGGUGAAAUGCUUAGAUAUCACGAAGAACUCCGAUCGCGAAGGCAGCUCACCGGGCCGGAACUGACACUGAUGCUCGAAAGUGCGGGUAUCAAACAGGAUUAGAUACCCUGGUAGUCCGCACAGUAAACGAUGAAUACUCGCUGUUCGCGAUACACUGUAAGCGGCCAAGCGAAAGCGUUAAGUAUUCCACCUGGGGAGUACGCCGGCAACGGUGAAACUCAAAUGAAUUGACGGGG
rnacentral:rRNA from 1 species